UAAGACGAAGCCGAUUCAGAUUGGAGCAAAUCGAACAUCGAUUUGAUUCUGUCGUACCGCGUAAGCAGCCAAGAUGGCGAUCCCCGAUUCGUGACGUCACAUGAAGUUCGGCAAGCCGAUUGAACGAAUGAUUUCAGUACUUUUGACACUAAAAUCGCUACCGCGUAAAAAAUCGAAGUUCGGCGUCUGAAGCCGAUUCCCAUUGGAAGUGUCAGUUGAAGCCGGGCACUUUUCAGUAACCGUGAUCAAUAUUAAUUUCUUAUUUUCACUGUUUUUCACCAAUAUUAGGAGCUAUUUACGGUGGGCGACAAAUUUUAGGAACAUCUUAAUCAAUAUAAAAUUGAUAUCGGCGUGGAUUUUCGUGUUUAAAUACCUAAAUACAGUGUCAUGGAGAUAGUCGUUUUAUGGGCUGCUGCGGAAGAAAAUGUCUUCAGAAUCUUGAGCAAAUCGAUUGCAGGAUACUUCGAGAGAAAAGCCAGUAUAUACUUCUCACAGAGAGUAGCUACAUUGGUAAUUUUAGAUUAUCAAAAGAUGCAUUUCGGACUUUGUAUCAUGACUUAGGACCAUAUCUGAAGGUCCAAUGCUCUACAACUGUGCAAUCGACUUUAAGUGACAAAUGCCCUCAAUCAGCCUGCAAUCGUGAGAUAAUAUAUCAAGUUUCCUCGGACAAAAACUGAGCAUAUAGAAGUCUCCAGAAGUUUUAAUGACAAAUUUGGAUUUCUUGGAGUACUUGGAUGCAUCCAUGGCACACACAUUGCCAUUAUCCAACCUCACAAGUGGGAAGAGGCCUUCUUCAAUAGCAAGUAUUACCAUU